rnacentral:rRNA from 1 species
GACGAACGCUGGCGGCGGGCUUAACACAUGCAAGUCGAACGGAAAGGCCCUGCUUGUGUGGUGUGCUCGAUUGGGGAACGGGUGAGUAACACGAAAGUAACCGGCCCUUGACUUUGGUAUAGCUUCAGGUAAGUGGGGCUAAUACCGUAUAGGAGCCGCCCUUGCAUUGAGAGGGGGGGAAAUUCUCGGCGGGUGGGGAUGGACGCGCGGCUUAUCAGCUUGUUGGUGGGGGAGUGGCUUACCAAGGCUUUGACGGGUAGCCGGCCUGAGAGGGUGACCGGCCACAUUGGGACUGAGAUACGGCCCAGACUCCUACGGGAGGCAGCAGUGGGGAAUAUUGCACAAUGGGAGGAAGCCUGAUGCAGCAACGCCGCGUGCGGGAUGACGGCCUUCGGGUUGUAAACCGCUUUCGCCUGUGACGAAGCGUGAGUGACGGUAAUGGAUAAAGAAGCACCGGCUAACUACGUG